AAGCCAACAGGGUGAGUCGGCAGGAGCACGGCUGUCCCGCUGGGAUUACGGCUGGAAGGCAGGACCUUUUCUCCCCCCCUCCAUCAUUUCAGACACCACUUAACGGUGGGAAACAAGUGACAUUUGUGCAGUCAGUUUUUCCCAUGGAAACAUACCCGGGCCUGGCUCCUCCUCUCCUGUCGCUGCUCCGAGGGACGUGGGCUCCGGGUCUGAAGACCCGGAGCAUUUGGAAGGAGAAUGGAGCAGAUGGAGACGAUGCAAAAAGCUGGAUCGUGGCAGCUGGACCCCCCUUCUGGGGGAAAGCCAACCCUCCGGACCCCGGGAGAGGUGAGGAAACACUGCAGGAGUGACUCAGGAGAUGGGGAGGGCGGAUAAGGAUCCAGGCAGCCGGCAUUCCGUCACCAACACUGCUCCCAAACCGCGCUCCCGGCUCCUCUUCCCACAGAUCCACGGACCAGGAACCACAUGCACGGACACGCAGCCGUCGGGAACACUCGGAGUCACCGCCGGCGAGGCUCCUCUGCAAACUCCUGUUGCUUCACCCCCCCGGGCUGGGUCGGUUUGGGGUUGGGUCCCUGCUUUUUUUUUUUUGGCAUUAGCGCAUCGAUUGCUGUUGCAACACUCCGAGGUGAGCCGGUUUAUGGUCUUAUAAACACCCCUCUUUCAAAACAGAGUCUUUGCAAGAAAAAUAAGAUAUCGGACCAAGUUUCCUCUUUGCAGCUUCCCAGCACGGCAGCAGCAGGGAUUUGGGAGCUGGGAUUAGAAUCCCACUGCGCUCACUCCCUGAAAGCAACAGUGCCUGACGCUGACACCCCCAAACUUCCCCUGUCUAACUCUCAGAAGCCCGUUCCUCGCUACCAUCAGGUCCAGGCCCGAGCCACCAACACCGGCCCCGAAAAGCUCCUGCCAACUUCUCCCCGCAAAGGGCCUCCAGCCCCAACCUGAAGGUUAUUUCUGAUUGAUUCGACACCGGGGCAGCCGCAGACGCCGGGCCGACACCGCCACCCGCGCAGCCCUCUCUCCAUCUGAGUGCACCCGGCGCUCACCGCAGCAGUUUCCAGAGAUGAUUAAGCUUUUCCCUUUCAGAGAGAAAUGUGUAAAAAGAAAUGGAAAGUAGAGAGAAAAAGAGAGAGAGAGAGAGAGGGGAAAGUUACCCUUCGUGGACAAUAGGAGGCAUUGAACUCGUCCCCGAUGCGCCGCAGCUCCUGCGCGAUCCAGACCUCGGGUUGCACGUCCUCGGCCACCGAGUGCCACCGGGAAGCUGCACGGGGAAAAACGGGAGUGUUGGGAAGGGAGGAACAACAAAACUUCACAGCAGUCCACCCAAUCUUGCCGUUUUAUUGCUGCUUUUUAUUGUGGCUGUGCCUUGAUUCUCACAUCCAGGUGCCAGAUGUUCCGCGGCACAAAUGGGACUUGUCAUCACAAGCCAGGCUUUUAUUCCUUAUCAUUCCCAUUAUUGUUAUUAUUAUUAUUAAGCAUUUAUUUAUUUAUUUAUUCAUUAUUCCAAGCUUUCCCUGGGAGCACCUCCAAGCUUUGGUCCCCUCCUGAACAGGGAGAAAAGCCAGGAUGCCACUCGCCUGUUUACUUCCCUCACCAAACCUCCUCUUCCCCCCUCCUUUCUCAACUACUUUUUUUCCUUGCAGGCACAGCAGCAGCUCCUUCCCUAACCUUAAAAACCCUCUGUCUGGAUAGUUUCAGCCAAUUAUCACAUUUCUGCUCCCAGUCAUCCCGAAGUGCCCAACAAGGAAAGGAAAAGGGUUUGUCACAAGGAGGAGAAAGCCACAGUUGGAUUUGUGUGUGGAGAAACCACAUUCCCAGCAAAACCAAGUGCUGGCUUGUAAGUGGAAAAAGAGUUAAUGUAUUAACUACACUGUGUGAUACAUAAUUAUUUCAGUCUCCAUCUUAAGAAGUUAUUAAACACAUGAUAAAUGCCUCAAACAGCCAGGGGAAAAAAGGAGGCAGGACCACGUACAGCACUGGCACCACCUCAUCCCCCCUCCUGCAAGCCCAAGUGCAGGAUCCUAGCAGGAAUCACAGCCUUAAGGAAAAUAAUAAUAAUAAAAAAAAAACUAAAAAGAAAAUAAACAAAAAAACCCAAAACAACCCCACACAAUCAAAAAAAAAAAAAAAAACCCAAACAAAAACAAACCCAAAACAAAAAAAAAACCUCCACUGCACAAAACAAAACAGUGCUUUGGCACGACAGCUUCGGAGGAAUCACAAGGGAACAGGGGAACAGCUUCCAAUCUCCGAAUAUUCAAAGGAUUAGCGGGGCAGUAAAAAAAAAAAAAAAAAAAAAAAUUAAAUAAAAAGCCUGGCUCCGACCUGACUGGAAAAUGUCUCUGGGAGCCAAGGCAGCGCCGCUUGGCUCGGGGACGUGUUUUGUUUUCACGCUGUAGUAGCGCAGGAGUAGCACCCGCCGCCUGCCCAGGGACGGCCCCGCAGCACUGCUGCUCCUCGCCGCUGAAUGAAACACAGCCCUCGCGAUAUUCCAGCCUCUGGAGCUCUCCGGGAAGGCAAACAGGGAUUCCGGCCGGGGCGGAGCGACCAUCCGAAAUCCCACCGCCGUCAGCAGAGCCGGCCCAGCAAGGGAAACAAAAACACCACGGGCAGACACGGGACAAAAAGAUGCGGGGAGAUACGGGGAUCCAGGAAAAACCACGCGGGGCAGAGGGUCUGCUCCCUCUCCAUCCUUUCCCCCCCUUCUCCAUCCUUUCCCCCCCGCCCCCGCCCCAGCAGAGCGCCCACGGGCUCAUCCGCCCCGAGAGGCGAAGCCUGGGGUUGGUGGCUGAGAGCGAAAUCGGGCUGAGGUUUUCAGAAAGGACUUUCUGUGGCGCUGCGUCAAAAGGGUCCAGUCAUAACUGGUCCCCAAACCAGUCAGAGGUGCUUUCGGGGGCGGGGGGGGGGUGGCACAGUCAUACCGCGACACACCGAGGGCGACACGGCCGCCCCGGGGACGGGGACGGGGACAAACCCGGGGGCCACCACGUCUCACUCCAAACCCAUGGGAUGCUCCAGCACGGCGGCGCUGCAGUCCCGGCUCAGAAGGGCAAAAAAAAAACAACCUCAGAUUGCACCUUCAGCCCCCGGGCUUAGUUAUCCAACCCCCCUGGAGAAAACCUCCUCUGAGGAAAUGGCAGCAGCAGCUCCACCGGACACCCCCACCAGCUUCCCGGCUCCAGGUUUUCCCCUUAAAUCCACCUAUUUCCACGGGGAGGAUCUCCUUAGUGGGCAACAAGAGGUUCAUGAUGCUUCUCUUCCCACGGGAAAAUGAUCAGGAUCAGAGCAGCCCAUUUACAGAGCACUUGCUCCAAACACAUUCCCAAAAGCCACGCAGAUGGAAAACCCAACGGAAGGACAUGAUCCUCUCCUACUAGGACACAAAACAUCAGGCAAAGAGUCUCCCAACCCCUCCCAAAAGGUGAGUUUCUUGUCUUUGGGUGAUUUAUGCUCCCAGCAGAGCACCCACCAACCCUCCCAACCUCGUCCCCAAAAAGCAGGAUCAUCAUCCUUUUCCCCUGUACCUCCCCUGGCACAACCAAAUCAUCUCAUCCCUGCUCCUCUCCUACCCAUCCCCAAAAGCAUCUUCCUGGACAUGCCAAGCAAACAACACAACCCUUCCUCCCUCCCACCCCAGAAUCCCAGAACCUCCCCUUGCUGUCCCAUUUCCAAAAUAAAAAAAAAAAAAAAGGCUUUGGAAGCAUCCACCACCUCCCCACCAAGGACUCCUCCUCACACAUCCUGGCAUUCCCGGCAUUCCCAAGGGCUGCCUCUACCUUUUUUUUUUUGCCCCCACCAUAAACUUUGGGGAAGGUUUUUACGAGGUUUAGAAGAGGGAGUUUUGGGGCAGAGCAUGAGCUUGCUGUGCUGGAGCAGCCUUGGAGCAAUUCCCUGCUGCCCACGGGAGAGGCUGGGAGCAUCCGUCGCUCCUGCUCGCAGGAAGCGCCUGUUUAUUAUUAUUAUUAUUAUUAUUGUUAUUAUUAAAGGCCCCUUGCUUGUGCUUCUGAGAGAAAC